rnacentral:rRNA from 1 species
CAGCCGCCGCGGGAAUACGAAGGGUGCAAGCGUUAAUCGGAAUUACUGGGCGUAAAGGGCGCGUAGGCGGCACGAUUAGUCAGGCGUGAAAUUCCUGGGCUCAACCUGGGGACUGCGCUUGAUACGGUCGAGCUAGAGGAUGGAAGAGGGUUGUGGAAUUCCCAGUGUAGAGGUGAAAUUCGUAGAUAUUGGGAAGAACACCGGUGGCGAAGGCGGCAACCUGGUCCAUUACUGACGCUGAGGUGCGACAGCGUGGGGAGCAAACAGGAUUAGAUACCCGCGUAGUCCCUGUCUCUUAUAC